UACGGGGGGAGCAAGCGUUGUUCGGAAUCACUGGGCGUAAAGGGAGUCUAGGCGGUUUGGUAAGUGGGAUGUUAAAUCCCCCGGCUCAACCGGGGACCUGCAUCUCAUACUGUUCAGCUCGAGCACAUCAGAGGAGACUGGAAUUCCCGGUGUAGCGGUGAAAUGCGUAGAUAUCGUAAGGAAGGCCGGUGGCGAAAGCGAGCCUCUGGACAGUUACUGACGCUGAUGCACGAAGGCCAGGGGAGCAAACGGG
rnacentral:rRNA from 1 species